GCCUUCGUGGUGUAGUGGUCAGCACGCCCGGCGCGUAUUCGAGAGGUCCGUGGUUCGAGUCCCGCCGAAGGCA
rfam:Stegodyphus mimosarum contig83040, whole genome shotgun sequence.